GUCACAGCUCGCCUGUGCCGCCAUGUGAAACUCAACAGAGAGAUGGGGAGAAUGAGCUGGAGUAAGAACACCCUUCCUUUGUGGUCUGCUGCUAGCAUUCAAUUUAUUCGUAAGGAGCAACAGAGACCCUGGGACAACGGACUGAGGCGCAUACUUUUCCUAUCAAAAGCAGACCUGGCCUCCUGGAUCUCCCAACAUUCCUCAGUCCCUACCUGGCAUACCCUGUCCCCAACCCUGCACUUUACAGCCCACGCUCUGUGCUGCCCUUCCCCCAGAGGCUUCUCCCUGUAUAACCCAGACACUUUGUGGCGCCCCUCCCUCUCUUUUCCUCCCCUCCUCCCAACCUUCUCCAUCUUCCUCCCUCUCUUCCUCUCCCUUUCCCUCUCUCCCUCUCUUCCUCUCUCUUCUUUUCCUUCUCUUCCCUCUGCAUUUGCAAGGCCUUCCCCUCCCCCCAAGAUGACUUCCCUAUAUCUCCUUCCUUGGGGACAGUGAACUGGUCCUCUCAAGAACAGCUUCC
rnacentral:lncRNA from 1 species